rnacentral:rRNA from 1 species
AGUGAACGCUGGCGGUAGGCCUAACACAUGCAAGUCGAACGGCAGCACAGUAAGAGCUUGCUCUUACGGGUGGCGAGUGGCGGACGGGUGAGGAAUACAUCGGAUUCUACUUUUUCGUGGGGGAUAACGUAGGGAAACUUACGCUAAUACCGCAUACGACCUACGGGUGAAAUCAGGAGAUAUUCGGACCUUGCGCGAUUGUAUGAGCCGAUGUCGGAUUAGCUAGUUGGCGGGGUAAAGGCCCACCAAGGCGACGAUCCGUAGCUGGUCUGAGAGGAUGAUCGGCCACACUGGAACUGAGACACGGUCCAGACUCCUACGGGAGGCAGCAGUGGGGAAUCUUGGACAAUGGGCGCAAGCCUGAUCCAGCCAUACCGCGUGGGUGAAGAAGGUCUUCGGGUUGUAAAGCCCUUUUGUUGGGAAAGAAAAGCAGCAGGUUAAUACCCCGCUGUUCUGACGGUACCCAAAGAAUAAGCACCGGCUAACUUCGUG